rnacentral:rRNA from 1 species
GAUGAACGCUGGCGGCGUGCCUAAUACAUGCAAGUCGAGCGAACAGAUAAGGAGCUUGCUCCUUUGACGUUAGCGGCGGACGGGUGAGUAACACGUGGGUAACCUACCUAUAAGACUGGAAUAACUCCGGGAAACCGGGGCUAGUGCCGGAUAACAUGUUGAACCGCAUGGUUCUACAGUGAAAGGCGGCUUUGCUGUCACUUAUAGAUGGACCCGCGCCGUAUUAGCUAGUUGGUGAGGUAAUGGCUCACCAAGGCAACGAUACGUAGCCGACCUGAGAGGGUGAUCGGCCACACUGGAACUGAGACACGGUCCAG